GAGUUUGAUCCUGGCUCAGGAUGAACGCUGGCGGUAUGCCUAACACAUGCAAGUCGAACGGAACCUUCGGGUUUAGUGGCGGACGGGUGAGUAACGCGUGAGAAUCUGCCUCUAGGUCGGGGACAACAAUUGGAAACGAUUGCUAAUACCCGAUGUGCAGCAAUGUGAAAGAUUUAUUGCCUAGAGAUGAGCUCGCGUCUGAUUAGCUAGUAGGUGUGGUAAUGGCGCACCUAGGCGACGAUCAGUAACUGGUCUGAGAGGAUGACCAGUCACACUGGGACUGAGACACGGCCCAGACUCCUACGGGAGGCAGCAGUGGGGAAUUUUCCGCAAUGGGCGAAAGCCUGACGGAGCAAUACCGCGUGAG
rnacentral:rRNA from 1 species